GUAUUUCCCUGCCCUCACCCCCUUCUCCUCCCCUCGCCCCCCACGAAUCACCCCAAACCUUUCCAGUCCUUUCUUCUGACCCCCAGGGUCACACCGGCGCGCCCCCCCCCAGCUUUAGUUCCCCCAUUCUGAUCCCAGGAGUCCUCUUCCACCCCGCACCGCAGUGCCUCCCCUCAGUGCCCCUCCACCCGUUCUCCAUUUUACACCAGGUUCCCUGUCUGCCCCCCCCAGUCCCCUAUUCUAAUUCCCAGUGUCCCUUGCCCCCCUCUCCCCUCCACUACUCUCCCUAUGCUGUCCCCAUCAGUCCCCCCCUCCCAGUCCCCUCUAUCUGACCCACAGGUUUCCCUGUCAUCCCCCCCCCCCCUAAACUAUUCCCCCUACAAUUCCCCCAUUCUGAUCCCUACAGCUCCCUUCCCCUCUCCACCUCAGUGUUCCUCCUAGUCCCCCAUUUUGACCCCCAGAAUCCCCAGACCCCCUCAAGUCCUCCCAUUCUGCGCCCUAGAGUCCGCCACCCCCAGGUCCCGUCUGUCUGAUCCCCAGGCUCCUCUGUCCUCCCUUCCAGCUCUGCUUUCUGACCCUUAGAGUCCCCUGUACCUCUUUGUUCCCCACUCCCUGACCCCUGGAGUCUGUUCCCCCAUUUUGACCCCAAGUCCCACCCACCAGAUCCCAUUUUCACCCCUUAGUAGCCCCUCACGACCCUCGGUUCUCCCCUUCCACCCCUCCCUUCACCCCCAAGUGCCCUUUCUUUCUCCUAGCGACUCUGUUCAUCCUUCCCCCCCCCCCCCCCCCAACCUCUCAAGUUUCUCCCCAGGCCCCCUUUCCACCCCACAGAAGCCCCACUCACCCCUUUCUCAGCCCCCCCCCCCACAGCACCCUCCAGACCCUCUUUCUUCCCAAUGGCGGCCUCUACUCACCCCUUUUUUCACUCCUCAUAACUCCCCCUCUACUCCCAGAUCCCCCUUUCCACCCCAUAGAAGCCACAUUCUUCCCUUCCCCCCCCCAACCCCUCAAGUUCCCUUCCACAACGCCCCUGUCCACUCACAGCCCCCCUUUCCUCCCCACAGAAGCCUUGUUCCCCUCCUUCCCCCCCACAACCCCUUCUCUCCACCCCUAGACCCCCUUUUCUCAUCACGGAAGCUCCUCACAAUCCCCCGUCUUCCCCCUUCCACCCCUCCAUCCACCUGCAGACCCCCUUUUCCUCCUUACUGAAGCCCCACGUCUACCCCUGGAGUCAUGCAGAAGGAUCUGGAUAUGUCCUGGAGGGAUUUGGGGGAGGCCAGGGAGCCCUGGACUCAUCCAGAAGAGUCUGGAGAUGUCCCAGAGGAGUCUUGGGGCAUUCAGGGAGUCCUCAUGUGGGUCUGGAGGGUUCUGGAUUCCUCAGACGGGUCUGGAGAUGCCCCGGAGGUGUUUUGGGGAGACCAGGGGGUCCUGGAGUCCUCCAGGAGUCUCAAAAACUGACAGUUCCCACCGAAAAAGCCCCCUAUGGCCACCAGGUGAUGUGGGGAAAACCGCAGGUGACACCGGGACAACUGCCUGCCCCCACAUUUGUCCCUGUCACCGUGGAACCUGGCGCCAUCCCAACCCUCAUCUAUGCUGAGAGCUCCGUCAGCAUCCUAAAGUUCCGGGAGCCGGGUGACGCCGUCUCCCUGACUCCCCCGGUGUCCCCAGCUGUUCUCCCUGCUGCGGUGGUGCAACUGGAGGGCUGUGACAUCCUCAUCAAAGAGGCCUGCCUCCAGCCGGACCUGGUAACACUGGAGCUCUCUGGCGCUGUCACCAUUAUGUGCCACAAGGAUGGGGACGUGGUGGUGUACUCUGCUGCCACCAGAGGGGACCGUGUGUGACAUCAGCGUGGAACAGCUGUCAUCGCUGCUGGGUGUUGCUUUUGUCAACAUGCAUGGGGUGUCACUGCUGGGGACACCUCUGUGUCACCCCUUCCAUGUCACACCCCAAAGUUGGAGGCACCCCUCUGCAGAUCCCCCGGUGUCCGUCCUUCUGACCGCAUUGUUCCCAUGCGGGGGUGGGUGGAGUUGAGGGGGGCACACACUUUAUUUUUGUAAAUAAGAUUUAUUUUGUGAUAAGGUGGACUGGGAGACGCCGCCCCCCCAGACCUCUGCAUGAAUAAAAGGCAGAGGAGCGGCUGUGGGGCUCUGCAUGUCACACCGGGGGGCACUCUGGGGACAGGUGACUGCAGCAUCCCAGCCCCAUAGCCCCUAUGACCCCAUCACCACUACAGUCCCAUCUCAUUGCCAUCCCAUAACCCGUAUCCAUAUGCUACAACCUUAUCCCAUCCCAUAUCCCAUCGUGUAUUCAUAGCCCAUCCUAUAUCCAUACCCUCAUAUCCAUCCCAUAACCAUAUUCCAAAUCCAUCCCAUGUCUGUAUCCUCAUAUCUCAUCCUCUAUCCAUAUCCCAUCCCAUAUCCCAUCCCCAGUCCAUCCCAUCCCUUAUCC
ensembl:lncRNA